rfam:Schistosoma haematobium scaffold66_38, whole genome shotgun sequence.
AUCCAGCUGACAAGUCCCAAAUAGGACGAAGUGACUCACAUCCUGGAU